CUACGGGCCGCAGCAGUGGGGAAUAUUGGACAAUGGGCGCAAGCCUGAUCCAGCAAUACCGCGUGUGUGAAGAAGGCCUGCGGGUUGUAAAGCACUUUCAAUUGUGAAGAAAAGCCUGGGGUUAAUACCCUCGGGUCUUGACGUUAACUUUAGAAGAAGCACCGGCUAACUCCGUGCCAGCAGCCGCGGUAAUACGGAGGGUGCGAGCGUUAAUCGGAAUUACUGGGCGUAAAGCGUGCGUAGGCGGCUAGGUCAGUCAGAUGUGAAAGCCCCGGGCUUAACCUGGGAACUGCAUUUGAUACUGCCUGGCUAGAGUAUGGUAGAGGGAAGUGGAAUUCCGGGUGUAGCGGUGAAAUGCGUAGAUAUCCGGAGGAACACCAGUGGCGAAGGCGACUUCCUGGACCAAUACUGACGCUGAGGUACGAAAGCGUGGGUAGCAAACAGGAUUAGAUACCCCGGUAGUC
rnacentral:rRNA from 1 species